AACGUAGGAGGCAAGCGUUAUCCGGAGUUACUGGGCGUAAAGAGCGUGUAGGCGGGCUGGCAAGUCUGGUGUGAAAGCUCCCGGCUAAACUGGGAGAGUGCAUUGGAGACUGCCAAUCUAGAGGCUGUCAGAGGGUCGUGGAAUUCCGGGUGUAGUGGUGAAAUGCGUAGAGAUCCGGAGGAACACCAGUGGCGAAGGCGACGACCUGGGGCAGAACUGACGCUGAGGAGCGAAAGCAUGGGGAGCGAACAGG
rnacentral:rRNA from 1 species